rnacentral:rRNA from 1 species
GACGAACGCUGGCGGCGUGCUUAACACAUGCAAGUCGAACGGAAAGACCCUGCUUUUGUGGGGUGCUCGAGUGGCGAACGGGUGAGUAACACGUGAGUAACCUGCCCUUGACUUUGGGAUAACUUCAGGAAACUGGGGCUAAUACCGGAUAGGAGCUCCUGCUGCAUGGUGGGGGUUGGAAAGUUUCGGCGGUUGGGGAUGGACUCGCGGCUUAUCAGCUUGUUGGUGGGGUAGUGGCUUACCAAGGCUUUGACGGGUAGCCGGCCUGAGAGGGUGACCGGCCACAUUGGGACUACGAUACGGCCCAGACUCCUACGGGGGGCAGCAGGGGGGAAUAUUGCACAAUGGGCGGAAGCCUGAGGCGGCAACGCCGCGUGCGGGAUGACGGCCUUCGGGUUGUAAACCGCUUUCGCCUGUGACGAAGCGUGAGUGACGGUAAUGGGUAAAGAAGCACCGGCUAACUACGUG